UCCCAACUGUGUCACUGGUAGGGCCUGC
rnacentral:piRNA from 1 species